GGCGGAUGUAGCCAAGUGGAUCANGGCAGUGGAUUUGUGA
rnacentral:tRNA from 1 species